rnacentral:rRNA from 1 species
UAGGGAAUCUUCGGCAAUGGACGGAAGUCUGACCGAGCAGCGCCGCGUGAGUGAAGAAGGUUUUCGGAUCGUAAAGCUCUGUUGUAAGAGAAGAACGAGUGUGAGAGUGGAAAGUUCACACUGUGACGGUAUCUUACCAGAAAGGGACGGCUAACUACGUGCCAGCAGCCGCGGUAAUACGUAGGUCCCGAGCGUUGUCCGGAUUUAUUGGGCGUAAAGCGAGCGCAGGCGGUUAGAUAAGUCUGAAGUUAAAGGCUGUGGCUUAACCAUAGUACGCUUUGGAAACUGUUUAACUUGAGUGCAAGAGGGGAGAGUGGAAUUCCAUGUGUAGCGGUGAAAUGCGUAGAUAUAUGGAGGAACACCGGUGGCGAAAGCGGCUCUCUGGCUUGUAACUGACGCUGAGGCUCGAAAGCGUGGGGAGCAAACAGGAUUAGAUACCCUGGUAGUCCACGCCGUAAACGAUGAGUGCUAGGUGUUAGACCCUUUCCGGGGUUUAGUGCCGCAGCUAACGCAUUAAGCACUCCGCCUGGGGAGUACGACCGCAAGGUUG